GACGAACGCUGGCGGCGCGCCUAACACAUGCAAGUCGAACGGGGUGCGUUCGAAUGAAGUUUUCGGAUGGAAUUUGGACGUACCUAGUGGCGAACGGGUGAGUAACACGUGAAUAACCUGCCCUGGAGUGGGGGACAACAGUUGGAAACGACUGCUAAUACCGCAUAAGCCCACAGAGCCGCAUGGCUCAGGGGGAAAAGGAGCAAUUCGCUUCAGGAUGGAUUCGCGUCCAAUUAGCUGGAUGGUGAGGUAACGGCCCACCAUGGCGACGAUUGGUAGCCGGACUGAGAGGUUGAUCGGCCACAUUGGGACUGAGACACGGCCCAGACUCCUACGGGAGGCAGCAGUGGGGAAUAUUGCACAAUGGGGGAAACCCUGAUGCAGCGACGCCGCGUGGAGGAAGAAGGUCUUCGGAUUGUAAACUCCUGUCGUUGGGGACGAUAAUGACGGUACCCAACAAGAAAGCCACGGCUAACUACGUG
rnacentral:rRNA from 1 species